rnacentral:rRNA from 1 species
UACGAAGGGGGCUAGCGUUGUUCGGAAUUACUGGGCGUAAAGCGCGCGCAGGCGGUUUUUCAAGUCGGUGGUGAAAUCCUGGAGCUCAACUCCAGAACUGCCUUCGAUACUGGGAGUCUCGAGUCCGGGAGAGGUGAGUGGAACUGCGAGUGUAGAGGUGAAAUUCGUAGAUUAUUCGCAAGAACACCAGUGGCGAAGGCGGCUCACUGGCCCGGUACUGACGCUGAGGUGCGGAAAGCGUGGGGAGCAA